rnacentral:rRNA from 1 species
GACGAACGCUGGCGGCGCGCCUAACACAUGCAAGUCGAACGGAGCUGAGAGAAGCUUGCUUUUCUUAGCUUAGUGGCGAACGGGUGAGUAACGCGUGAGUAACCUGCCCUGGAGUGGGGGACAACAGUUGGAAACGACUGCUAAUACCGCAUAAGCCCACGAUCCGGCAUCGGAUUGAGGGAAAAGGAUUUAUUCGCUUCAGGAUGGACUCGCGUCCAAUUAGCUAGUUGGUGAGGUAACGGCCCACCAAGGCGACGAUUGGUAGCCGGACUGAGAGGUUGAACGGCCACAUUGGGACUGAGACACGGCCCAGUCUCCUACGGGAGGCAGCAGUGGGGGAUAUUGCACAAUGGGGGAAACCCUGAUGCAGCGACGCCGCGUGGAGGAAGAAGGUUUUCGGAUUGUAAACUCCUGUCGUUAGGGACGAUAAUGACGGUACCUAACAAGAAAGCACCGGCUAACUACGUG